rnacentral:rRNA from 1 species
GAUGAACGCUGGCGGCGUGCCUAAUACAUGCAAGUCGAGCGAACGGACGAGACGCUUGCUUCUCUGAUGUUAGCGGAGGACGGGUGAGUAACACGUGGAUAACCUACCUAUCAGUCUGGGAUCACUUCGGGAAACCGGAGCUAAUCCCGGAUAAUAUUUUGAACCGCAUGGUUCAAAAGUGAAAGACGGUCUUGCUGUCACUUAUCGAUGGAUACGCGCUGCAUUAGCUAGUUGGUACGGUAACGGCUUACCAAGGCAACGAUGCAUAGCCGACCUGAGAGGGGGGUCGGCCACACUGGAACUGAGACAGGGUCCAGGCUCCUACGGGAGGCAGCAGUAGGGUAUCGUCCGCAAUGGGCGAAAGCCUGACGGAGCAACGCCGCGUGAGUGAUAGAGGUCUUCGGAGCGUAAAACUCUGUUAUUAGGGAAAAACAGAUGUGGAAGGAACUGUGCACAGCGUGACGGUACCUAAUCAGAAAGCCACGGCUAACUACGUG